GAUGAACGCUGGCGGCGUGCCUAAUACAUGCAAGUCGAGCGAACAGACGAGGAGCUUGCUCCUCUGACGUUAGCGGCGGACGGGUGAGUAACACGUGGAUAACCUACCUAUAAGACUGGGAUAACUUCGGGAAACCGGAGCUAAUACCGGAUAAUAUAUUGAACCGCAUUGUUCAAUAGUGAAAGACGGUUUUGCUGUCACUUAUAGAUGGAUCCGCGCCGCAUUAGCUAGUUGGUAAGGUAACGGCUUACCAAGGAAACGAUGCGUAGCCGACCUGAGAGGGUGAUCGGCCACACUGGAACUGAGACACGGUCCAGACUCCUACGGGAGGAAGCAGUAGGGAAUCUUCCGCAAGGGGCGAAAGCCUGACGGAGCAACGCCGCGUGAGUGAUGAAGGUCUUCGGAUCGUAAAACUCUGUUAUUAGGGAAGAACAAAUGUGUAAGUAACUAUGCACGUCUUGACGGUACCUAAUCAGAAAGCCACGGCUAACUACGUG
rnacentral:rRNA from 1 species